rnacentral:rRNA from 1 species
UGGGGAAUAUUGGACAAUGGGCGAAAGCCUGAUCCAGCCAUGCCGCGUGUGUGAAGAAGGUCUUCGGAUUGUAAAGCACUUUAAGUUGGGAGGACGGGCAUUAACCUAAUACGUUAGUGUUUUGACGUUACCGACAGAAUAAGCACCGGCUAACUCUGUGCCAGCAGCCGCGGUAAUACAGAGGGUGAAAGCGUUAAUCGGAAUUACUGGGCGUAAAGCGCGCGUAGGUGGUUUGUUAAGUUGGAUGUGAAAUCCCCGGGCUCAACCUGGGAACUGCAUUCAAAACUGACUGACUAGAGUAUGGUAGAGGGUGGUGGAAUUUCCUGUGUAGCGGUGAAAUGCGUAGAUAUAGGAAGGAACACCAGUGGCGAAGGCGACCACCUGGACUAAUACUGACACUGAUGUGCGAAAGCGUGGGGAGCAAACA